AGCAGGGGCUACUCUUCGUUACAGUGCAUGGGCUUCUCAUUGUGGUGGCUUCUCUUGUUGAGGAGCACAGCUUCUAGGCGCCCGGGCUUCAGUAGUUGUGGCACAUGGGCUUAGUUGCUCUGCGGCAUGUGGAAUCUUCCUGGAUCAGGUCUCAAACCCGUGUCCCCUGCACUGACAGGCGGAUUCUUAACCACUGCGCCACCAGGGAAGUCCCGAAGAGGUCACUCUUGAUGGGAGGCUCGGAGAGGUAGCACAGAAAGGUCAGGUCUGGAUGAACAGGAUGGCUGAGUGAAGGGGAGCUGGUGUGACCAGAAGCCAGGACUGCUAUGCGGAACAAUGAAGGUUUAAGACCCAGAGAAGGGUCCCAAAGUCCAGGCAGCUUUCCCACCGGGACUGUGUGCUUGUUUAUGGCCUUCUGCUUUCCAGGGCCUGUGCUCACUUGCAAAGUGGGUGCCAGGGAGCCAUCUUGCCAUGGGGGUGAGGAUACAGGAGAUGCUGCAGCAAAGUGGGAAACCAACUGCUCUCAGAACGGAGAAAAAUUCCUUCACAAGGCCUGAAUGAUCUGAAGCUGCACCCUCCACUUUGCCUGCACUGCCACCGAGGUCCAAACCACCAUCACCUCCCUCUUUGCCUGGAUGGCCACAAACAGCUUGUCCCAGUGGUGGCUGUGGAGCCAGCAGCCCCGUCUGGAACAGAAUUGGGCUCUGCUCCUUGCGGGUUGCAUGACCUUGGGCAAACCCUCGGCCUCCACUAUGCUUCUGUUUCCUGUGAAAU